rnacentral:tRNA from 1 species
GGGAUUGUGGCUCAGUGGCAGAGCACUUGCCUUGCAUGUAUGAGGUACUGGGUUCAAUCCUCAGCACCA